AAUUUUGGCAAGUAUAUGGGUGUAUUCAUAUAUUAAAAAUCAUCCUUAUUGCCUUGCAGAGAGCACAAGGAUAAUUUUUGGAAGCUUCAAGACUGUUAGGCCUUUGUCCUACAAAAAAGAAAAAAAAAAACAUACAAACCAAAAACAAAUUUUAACAAUAUCUUAUUAAAUUUUUAUUUUUGCAUUUGCAAUUUUGUUCCCGGAGCUUCAUCUUAAAUAUAUAGGAUCCUAGGGUUUCCUUCCUCCUUGGGACCUGGCUGGAAAGAACAAACCCUUGGUAUAGAAGCAGAGAUACCUCCUCUCAUAGGAUCUAAAGUUCUUUUAACCUUUUCCAGUUCCUCGGAACAUGCUUGGAAUUUCUAUGCCGGUACUGUUAGUCGGCUGGCAGAGCUAAACAACCUCUAAACAAUCACUUCAAUACUUUCUGGAAAAUUCCGUUGUGUCUGUUUCAAAUGCUGAUGCUACAAUACAGCACUCGUUUUCUCUUCCUUCUAUACCCGUGUGGAGUCAAUGCAGACCCCGGUCAGGAGAUGGGAGCUCAGGGAUACCCAGAGAACACUGAGUCUCCAAAGGGACGUGGCCCAGAAGCUACUGGAACGCAGGGGCAUGCCGAAGUCUCCGCAGCAACCUGCCCGUGUCCUUGCUCGGAUCCUUGCCUACAGCUUGCUCCUGGAGGAUGAAAACGAAGGGAGUCACGGGAGGACCACAGGCAUCCGGAGGGAGCUCUGUUGCGGGGAACAUGAGCGCCCCGAGACUUUUUGGUGACAGAGAUGUGGCCCUGCCUCCUUAGGACACAACACACACAUCCAGGUGGAGGCCUGAGCUGCAGUGAGGCUCGCCAGGGAGGAGGUGGCAGGAUCAGAGGGUGCGAGGCCAACGCACGCUGCAACACGGGGAAAGCUGGUGUGAGACUGCUUAGCCCACCCACCUCUGCUUCAGCUGGAGCUCCCAUCCCUCCGUAAACCUAAAACUCCAGCCCGAGGCGGAGGACUCACUUCCUCUCUGAGGUCGUCCACACUCCGGCUCUUGGGCGCCUGCGCCCUGGUGUGAUCACUGUCUUGCUCGGCUGCUCACACCUGGGGUGUCCUUCGGUUCUCUGUAGAGUGCUCAAGAACCUGGAGGGGCCAAGAAGAGGUCCCUGCAUCUCUCAGAGAUCUCCUCAGACCCCUGGACAGAGACAAUCAAGAGGAAAGGAAAAGUUAGCAGAUGUUUGACUCUUGGCCUUAUGUCUGUUGGAAUAGCCCUUUCUGCCUGUAUGAUGGUGUGAUUUUGUAUGUGCACACACCUCGUGUGAUUAGUUCCCUAGCAGGGCAAUAAACACAUGUCAGCACCUCACACUUUCCUCUUCUGGCAUCUCCUACACCUCCCAAGGGUGCAUGCACCCUCGCUCCUGCAUACCUGUGUAGCCUCCUUUCCCUCCACGCCCCUUCCGAGUCUCCCUGGAACCAUGUGCAUGGGUUUCUGAGCACAUGUGAAUAUAACUAGAUAUAUCCUGUGGCUUCUUUGAGCAUGACCUUCCUAUGGCCCUGGGAUGCUCCACCCUACCCUGUUUAACUAGGUGAACUUUAAGACUCACCAGAUCCUCCUCUUCCAGGAAGUUUCCUACUAUCUGGUCCCUGUCUAUGCUCCUACAGGGUUCCAGGGCAGCAGGCACCCACUGAGUCACUGACCUGUCCAAAUAGAGCUCCUUCAGGGAAAGAAGUGUGCUUAUUCUCCCAGCAUUCCCAGUCCUCAGCCCUGGGUAGGGACCCCAGCCAUUUUUGGAAUUGGAUGCAUCAAGAGGCCUUUUAGAGGAGUGCGCAGUAAAGGCCUUCAGAAGGUAAGUUGGCAGUGAAACCUCACCAGACAACACCCAGCUGGAGAAGUGGUACUUACAGUACAAGCUUGGAAAUUGGAUGGAGGGCUUGGGAAUUAUCUUCUGAGAUUUGACACUGACAUCAGCUGCUCUGGGACAGGGACUCUGGGAGGCAUAGGAAUGGUGAAGGGUUUGCCUGAUGGUCCUUCACAGCAUUAGGUUUUCACGAUGGAAGUUACUGAAAACCCUCCGUAGCCCAAAGGGUUAACGGAGCUUUUCCUCCCUGGCCUCCUCCCUGGGAGUAACUUGAAGCAGGCCAUAAAGUCAGGCUGAAAUCUCGGGUCACAAGUGUAGGGCUGUGCUCAUAAGGAGGAAUGAGAGCUGGACGUGAAUUAACGAGGUUGUGACCUAGUAAAAGCUUCACCACUCUGGAAGCUCUUGGAAACUGCAUUUUGCCUUACUGCAUAUUUUUGAAAAUCAAUAAAAAUGAAUAGUAAUGCUUCAGGAACGAGUGGAGGGGAGGAGGCUGCGCCGUAACUCCUAGAUGUCAUGCUGAGUGUGCAGCUCCGCAGCGCAGCACGAAGGACCUCAGCCUUGGACGUGCAGGGACGGACCGUGGGGACGGCGCUCACAGCGUCCUGGUUUACACAGUCAAAAC
rnacentral:lncRNA from 1 species